CUCUGUCACCCAGGCUGGAGUACAGUGGCACGAUCUCCACUCACUGCAUCCACUGUCUCCCAGGUUCAAGCGAUUCUCUUGCCUCAGCCUCCCCAGUAUUGGGAAUACAAGUGUGCACCACCACAUCCAGCUAAUUUUUUUUUUGUAUUUUUAGUAGAGAUGAGGUUUCACCAUCUUGGCAAGGCUGGCCUUGAACUCCUGACCUCAGGUGAUCCACCCACCUUGGCCUCCCAAAGUGCUGGAUUACAGAUGUAAGCCACUGCGCCCAGCCCAAAAUUUAGAGAUCUUAUAUGAACUUUGCUGUAAUUGCUCAUAAAUGCAUAGGUGACCAUCUCCUGAAGAUUGAGGCUGAAGGAGGCAAAAGUCUCUCACCUCUUACCGGGCCAGCAUAGCUCCAUUCCCUUCUAAGAGAGGCUUUUUAAUAAGUUGGCAUUCAUCUUACUCUGGUGAGUUUAUUUUAUCACAGACUCUCUGAGAAGAAAAAAAAAAACAUUGCGACUUACCACAAUAAAGUAAAUAUCACAAGAUAAAUGACAAUGUUGGAAUGGAAACCACUUAGGGACUCAGAACGGUCAGAUGCAAACAGUUUCAAGACUAUUAGCUGUUAAAGGUUAUGCCUUAUGUCACCCAAAAGGGUUUUCCCCUAGAUUUAUAGCACAAACUCAUGGAAGAUUUAUUGCCAUCUUAAUUUUUCCCCCAUUUUCACUUUACGAACAGUCAGCCUGGAAUUCCUCCUAAGUCAUUUAGAAAUGAGGAGCUGCUGGUUUUUAAGAAAUGUUUUGUGCCACAUUUUCUGCAACUUUAAUGUCUUUCUUAUGAAUUCGAUUAUGAUCAAAUCAUCUCAUGUGCCUCUCCAGAUUCACCCUCUGCCCUUUGCCACCCACCCUGUUCUCUGUCCCAGGAAGCUGGCCUUUAAGAGCCACAGAACAAAGUCUCUUGCCUUUGGCUUUCAGAUGGGUACAGCCACAACGGGGAAUGACCAGAGACUGGCGAAAGGGAAGAGAUGGGCUUGAGCUGUUCGUUCCCCCAGAUCCUUUCUGCAUGCUCCACGGUUGGCUGCAGCCUUGGCAAGCUCUCAGCUUCUGUCAGGCCGCCUUCUCACAAUGCUCUCUGCCUCCAAGUUCCAGUAACCACUCUGUCCCAGUGAUAGAGUGUACAUUUGCUCACAAUACUGAUUCUUUCUCUCAGGGCCCACCCCACUUAUUGUGGCUUGGCCAUUUGAUUUGCGUUAGUCCAUGGAAUGUUAGCGGGCGUGACAUCUAUCUCACGGGAGCAAGAAGCUUCAAUGUGCUCUUGCAUGGUGUGGCUCUGCCCCUGGUGCUUCUGACCUCUAUCAUGAGAAGAGCAUGUCCCAACGUGAGACCACUGUGAGCCUGCGCUCUCAAACGAGAAGGCAUGUCGGACCCAGCCAAGCCCAGCAGAGUCCAGCAGAACCACAGCCAAACUACAGCCCUCAUGCAACAUGCAUGAGAAAUGGUGUUUGUUAUCAUAAGCCACUGAAAUAUCGAGGUUGUUGGUUAUGACUGCAAAAGUCAACAGAUGCAGCCAGGCGUGGUGGCUCAGGCCUGUAAUCCCAGCACUUUGGGAGGCC
ensembl:lncRNA